UACAGGUGGUGCAUGGCUGUAGUCAGCUCGUGUCGUGAGAUGUUGGGUUAAGUCCCGCAACGAGCGCAACCCUUGUUUUUAGUUGCCAUCAUUUAGUUGGGCACUCUAGAAAGACUGCCGGUGACAAACCGGAGGAAGGUAAGGAUGACGUCAAGUCAGCAUGCCCCUUACGCUCUGGGCUACACACGUGCUACAAUGGCCGUGACAAAGAGUUGCCAACUUGUAAAAGUGAGCCAAUCUCAUAAACGCGGCCUCAGUUCGGAUUGCAGGCUGAAACUCGCCUGCAUGAAGGUGGAAUCGCUAGUAAUCGCCGGUCAGCUACACGGCGGUGAAUCCGUUCCCGGGCCUUGUACACACCGCCCGUCACACCACGGAAGCUGGCCACGCCCGAAGUCGUUACUCUAACCUUCUCGGAGGAGGAUGCCUAAGGCAGGGCUAGUGACUGGGGUGAAGUCGUAACAAGGUAGCCGUACUGGAAGGUGCGGCUGGAUCACCUCCUUU
rnacentral:rRNA from 1 species